rnacentral:tmRNA from 1 species
GGGGGUGACCGGCUUCGACUUCGACCUUGCAAGGCAGUGGGAAGCGGGCCGAGGACUGCGGACAUAACCUCGUUAAUCCUGUGACCGCAAACAACAAGUGCCAAUAAGAAGCACGCUGAGGUUUCCCAGGCCAGCCUGGGCCUCGCCGCCUAAGCAGCGAGUGACCUCUGCCGACUCGGGACCGCCUCCGGCCCGAGCCCGGCAUCGCUAGGAGGCUCAACCGCCGACCCCGGCCACGGGGGUCGCGCGGGAAAUCUCACAGUGGCUGAGCCCGUCGGCGACAUGCCUGUGUGAUCGCCGGGGCUGAGAAAAUCUAAAGCAGGCUGCGCCCGGAGAAGCCCUGUUUUGGGGUUGAAGGACGCGGGUUCGAUUCCCGCCACCUCCACAU